GCGGGGGAGCAUGUGGUUUAAUUUGAAGCAACGCGAAGAACCUUACCAGGUCUUGACAUCCUCUGACAACUCUAGAGAUAGAGCGUUCCCCUUUGGGGGACAGAGUGACAGGUGGUGCAUGGUUGUCGUCAGCUCGUGUCGUGAGAUGUUGGGUUAAGUCCCGCAACGAGCGCAACCCUUGAUCUUAGUUGCCAGCAUUUAGUUGGGCACUCUAAGGUGACUGCCGGUGACAAACCGGAGGAAGGUGGGGAUGACGUCAAAUCAUCAUGCCCCUUAUGACCUGGGCUACACACGUGCUACAAUGGAUGGUACAAAGGGCUGCAAGACCGCGAGGUCAAGCCAAUCCCAUAAAACCAUUCUCAGUUCGGAUUGUAGGCUGCAACUCGCCUACAUGAAGCUGGAAUCGCUAGUAAUCGCGGAUCAGCAUGCCGCGGUGAAUACGUUCCCGGGCCUUGU
rnacentral:rRNA from 2 species